rnacentral:rRNA from 1 species
GAUGAACGCUGGCGGCGUGCCUAAUACAUGCAAGUCGAGCGAACAGACGAGGAGCUUGCUCCUUUGACGUUAGCGGCGGACGGGUGAGUAACACGUGGGUAACCUACCUAUAAGACUGGGAUAACUUCGGGAAACCGGAGCUAAUACCGGAUAAUAUUUCGAACCGCAUGGUUCGAUAGUGAAAGAUGGCUYUGCUAUCACUUAUAGAUGGACCUGCGCCGUAUUAGCUAGUUGGUAAGGUAACGGCUUACCAAGGCAACGAUACGUAGCCGACCUGAGAGGGUGAUCGGCCACACUGGAACUGAGACACGGUCCAGACUCCUACGGGAGGCAGCAGUAGGGAAUCUUCCGCAAUGGGCGAAAGCCUGACGGAGCAACGCCGCGUGAGUGAUGAAGGUCUUCGGAUCGUAAAACUCUGUUAUUAGGGAAGAACAAACGUGUAAGUAACUGUGCACGUCUUGACGGUACCUAAUCAGAA